rnacentral:rRNA from 1 species
AACGAACGCUGGCGGCGCGCCUAAUACAUGCAAGUCGAGCGAGAAGGUGUAGCAAUACACUUGUAAAGCGGCGAACGGGUGAGGAAUACAUGGGUAAUCUACCAUCGAGUGGGGAAUAACCAACCGAAAGGUUGGCUAAUACCGCGUACGCCUCCGGGUCUUCGGGUUCGGAGGGAAAGCUGCACUGUGAGUGUAGCGCUCUUUGAUGAGCUCAUGUCCUAUCAGCUUGUUGGUAGGGUAACGGCCUACCAAGGCUUUGACGGGUAGCUGGUCUGAGAGGACGAUCAGCCACACUGGCACUGCGACACGGGCCAGACUCCUACGGGAGGCAGCAGUAAGGAAUAUUGCGCAAUGGGCGCAAGCCUGAUGCAGCGACGCCGCGUGGGGGAUGACGGCCUCGGUUGUAACCGUCUUCUAGCAGGACGAAGGGUAGGACGUGACGGUACCG